AUAAUAUUAAAUUUUGGAUAAUCAGUAUGUAGUCAUUCAGACCUUCCUCAGGCUAUGGUAUAUUCAUUUAUGAAUCAAGAAUCUAAUCAGAUUUUGUCCAAAAAUUAUCAAGGAAUGUUACUAAUACCCGUAUUUUUAUUGUGGACGAUGCAAAGAAAGUGAAAUAAAAAAACAGGUUCUGGGAUCUCGGCCGCAAGUUCUGCGUUAUUAGAGUCAUUUUCGAUUAUAGUCCAACUUUCUCCAGAAUCUGAAUCACUGUGGUCUAUAGUAGAACUAUCCAUUUUUGAGAAUCUAAAAAAUUAGAACGCGUAAAAAGCGUCGCAAAAAAAUACAACGCAAAUAUGAGGAUUAUCCAAAUAUAAGUACAUACCAAGUAAAAGACAAA